GAUCCUGGCUCAGGACGAACGCUGGCGGCGCGCUUAACACAUGCAAGUCGAGCGAUGAAAUUUCGACAGAUCCCUUCGGGGUGAAGAUGAAAUGGAUUAGCGGCGGACGGGUGAGUAACACGUGAGUAACCUGCCUUUGACAUUGGGAUAGCCUCGGGAAACUGGGAUUAAUACCAAAUGACACUAACUGAUCACAUGAUCAAUUAGUCAAAGAAAUUCGGUCAAAGAUGGACUCGCGG
rnacentral:rRNA from 1 species